UUUUUUACUUUUUUUUAAAAUCAAAAGCUAAUCAAGGACUUUCCUCUAUGCCUCUAUGCCAUCCAUGAGGAGGAGACUCUCUCAAGGUCAUCUGCUUCCUGCUCCAGGAGGUUUGGUAUUUUUCUUAUGAAUUGAUGACAAUUCCACUGAAUGACAGCAACCAUGAAUCAGAACUCUCUGACUUCUUCUGGAUGGUGCAGGCAGGUACCCUGUCUGCUCUCUGGUGCUGUGAGUCCUGCACUGAAGUGUGUAGGGGAACAAAAAAGGACACAGUUUUAAGAAUUAAGAAUUAAGUCUUCUUCAGCUGAAUUCCAUGGUGACCUGGUGACCUGAUUCCCCACAGCAGACUGGUGUUUGCCGAGAUUGAAGGGCGAACAAAGCAAAAUAGUUGGUGCUUCAGGUCUCUUGGAUAGCAAGCAAAACAUCACAGAAAACUUCUUUGCACUAAUGCAGGAGGAGAACAAAGCUUUUGAACAAAAGAUUUAAAUUCCAUCUGUCAUUUCCACCCACUACUAAAUCUACCAAAGACUGAACUUUCAUCCGACUGAGCCGAAUGCAAUGAUAUCUAACUGUGGUGCCACUGAUCACUGCAGAGCAUAGACCUGACUUUUCAGCUUUUGGAAACUGUUAACAUAGAUUUAAGUGCAGCAGAGGAGGCAUGAAGCCAUGAAUGUUUUACUGGAGAGCUCCAGAUCAUCUCUCAGCAGGUGCUGCAGCAAUGGUACCACCUGGACUCCCAGCAUCUUCAUCCUGGUGUGGAUACUUUGAAUAUAUGUAUAGUCAUGAGCUCUGCCCACCAUGCAAUGGAAAACCUGCAUAGUUUUAAACACUGUGUUCUUUUUUCCUUUACUGACUAAGAUGUUUCCUUCAUAUCAAGUUUUUUUCUUCAAUUAACCCCUAGAAUUGUAACUUUUUGCACACUCCCCCAGAUAAAAAUUGAAAUUACUGACUAAUUAACUGACUAUAAGGGCUGAGGUUUUAUGAGAAAAACAGAGGAUUCAUUAGAAUUCAAAGCUUGGCAUUAUUGCAAUGUAUGCAAAACCAUUUCUGUCAUUGGUUAAAUUAUCACUUACUCAAUUUCAUCUAUCUUAUUAAAAGCUACAUUGGAACAGCCUGUUGCUUAAAUGAACAUACCUCCCCAUGAAUAUGUUGUUUUGAUUCCAUGAUUCUUUUUUUAUGAAAUCUGUUUAUGAGCUGAAGGAAGUGAAAGACAAGUGGAAAAAAUUAGCAGCUGAUAUCCCUGGUUCUGACUAGAUACUGCUAAGUGUUUAAUAUUUAGUUGAUUUUAGAUUUACAAAUAAUCUUGGUAUGUAUGCAGUAGUGAAAUGGUAAAUAUUCCUUCACUGGGUAUUUCUCAGUAAAAAUAAGAGUGAAUGUAAUGUUUAGUGCUUGUUGGUUUUUUAAAAGGUUUUCUUGCUUUGAAAUACACAGAUGACUACUUGGUUUAAUAAAGUAUCACUGUAAUUAGUGACACACACUUAGAAGAAGUUGAAGUGCUCAAAUUCAAGCCAUGUUAAGGCUUUCUUCUGUUUAAAAUCCAUCCAUUAGAUUAGGUGGAAGGGUCAUAAAGCAUUCUGUGAAAUCCGGCGCUAAUAUAUCAGUCUUGAAGGGUGUUAAUUUGGUUCUCCAGUUCUGAUUUGUUUGGAAGAACAUAUUAAUUGCUUGUUAGGCAGAAUUAAACCAUUUUCUGCUAAAAAAGAAAAUUGGAUAUACUGAGACUAAAGAGCUGUGUCUUUGCAGAGCAUUUUCGUUCUGAAUACGGCAGCUUGUUUAGCAAAAGGCAGAACAGGAGGAUUCUGUCUUUUUGGAUCUUUGAACAGCUCUGAGAAACAAAGGCUGAUAGAGCUGAGAGUUGCAGAAGAGGGAGCACUUUAUCCCCGCCACAAAAGGAAAAUAAAAAUCCUUAAGGUCAUAAUAUUAUGUGGUCUGCCUCAGCAUCUUUCCUGGCUCACAGCUCAAGCAGUCAGGAAAAGGAUUAUGAAAAUGAGAAGCUUUUCCACUCAAAAGCAAAAGUUUUUGUUUCUGUUGCAGUCACAGAUUGUUCCUGGGGCCUGAUCCUGUCUCUCCUGAGCUAUGGCAGAGUCCCAUUAAAGUUAAUGGAGAAUAACUUGGGCAUUGGGAUGUACAUGGAUUGAAACAGAACCAGUCAUAACCACCAAAAAUCCAGGCAGAGGGGUCUCUUAAAAACAAUAUUCUGACAUGUCAGUGUCCAGUUUAGAAUUCCAGCCACUUCAAGCAGGUGCAGAAGUCUGUGUUCUGUGUGUGCCAAGACUGUAGAGGAGACUCUGCUGGGACAGGCAGUGAAGGGUCAAUGUCCUCAUGCUCUUACAGAUGUCUCUUUUUGUUAGAAAAAUCAUGGUACUAGAUGAAUUUUCUGGAUAUGGAAUUCACACAAAACCACAAAGAACAUAACAAACACAUAUUCCCAUAGUAGGAAUGUAAAUAUUAAUUAAAAAAUGACCAGGCAAGGCCGUGACUCUGCUGCAUUGCCUGAUGUAUUCUCAUGAGGGCUAACCUUUCCAUCACAUAUUAAGUUGAUUUUUGCAAAAGAGCUGUAUGGAGGAAGUACCCAGCCAUUCACAUGAGCCCUUGCUCAUCCCUUGCUGUGUGUGAACAUAAGUUCCCAAUGUGAUCAGGGCAAUGAGGGACAAAAAGCUUGACAGGAAUCCUUAGUGAGUAGGAUACUUCUCUGAGGAGGACCACAUGAACAUGAGAAGUGGCCUUGAUUGUUUCCUACAAUAGCAGCUGAUUUCUAGUGUGUUCUGUCAAUACUAUAUUGAUCUCUUGACACUAGGUAGAUGAAAAGGAAGCAAUUUUCUAUGUUUACCUGCAAAUGUACCCAAUACCUAGCUAUUUCUGGGGCUUGAUUGUUGAAUGAACUGUGAUUCCCAAACUUCGCUAUUCCAUAUUUUGAAACGUUUCCUAUUUGCUUCUGUAUAAGGUGAUUCUCCUGUGUAUGUUUUAAUUUUCCUUUUGUUUAGCUUGGAUCUCCAGCUUCUUAGAACACAUUUUAUUUAAAGCUGAAAGGGCACUGAUGAGCUUUUCAUGAUAAUCUCAGUUUGCACUUGUGCUCUCAAACUGAUGUGAAGAAUACAUGUGGGAAUAUUUUUAAUUCAGUAUUUAUAUUCAAUAGAUUUUACAGAGUUUAAAUGCACCUUCCAAAUCUGUAAUAUAAAUGGCCAUAGUUACAAUAAUUACUUGUUGCUCUGGCCUUGCCAUAUCUUUGCCCUCCGCCUGGAUUGCUUCAAUUCUCAUGGUUUCAGCAAAGAGCAAUAUUGGAUAUUUUAGAAACACCAAUGGAAGUCUUCCUCUGUGUAAUUUCCUUUUGCAUACCUUAAAACCAGUGAUCUAAACCUUGUGCUUUGUGGCUAACAAGGGUGUGUUUUUCUCUUUCCUCCCUAACUCUCUAGCAGCCUACCAGACCUCUUGUUUGUCUGCCUGGUGUAUUUCUGUCUUAUCCUCACCCCCGAGCUGCCAGAGUCAGGAUCAACCCAAGCUUGACACUGUCACUGUGAGUCACUUGAUCUUGGCUGUGAGCCAGUGCUACCAAGUGCCAAAAAACAACAAAAAAACCAAAUCCAUACAUCUCCUUCAUUAGGUCUGAUCUUACCCCUAGCUAAGACAAUGAUAAGUAUUUUGGGGAAUGGAGUGGGGCUUUUUUAAUAGCAUUUGAGAUAUUUGUGCUGUGGGAAUGAUAUUGUAUUUGUUAUAAGGACUAGCUACUAGUUUACAUCAUCAGGUUUAAAUUCAAGUGGUUGGCUCUAGUACAAAUACUGGAAUUGCUUCAUUGAAGGCAAUAAAAUAGUGUUUGGCUUUUUCUGGAUUUCUGUAACUUUGUUUGUGAAAUAAAGGUCAUCCAAUUUUUCAGA